rnacentral:rRNA from 1 species
AGUGAACGCUGGCGGCGUGCCUAAUACAUGCAAGUCGAACGGAGUGGCGCACGGGUGUGUAAUAUAUAUCUACUCUGCCCCUUGCCGGAGGACAAACGUUAGAAAUGACUGCUAAUACUCCAUAGCAAGGGAUGAGACUAUAUCGUAUCAGCUAGUCGGUGGGGUAACGGCCUACCGAGGCUAUGACGCGUAACUGGUCUGAGAGGGUGAUCAGUGAGAUUGGAAGAGAGACACGGUGCAAACUCCUACGGGAGGCAGCAGUAGGGAAUAAUGCGCAAUGGGGGAAACCCGGAGGCAGCAACGCCGCGUGGAGGAUGAGACUGUUCGGAGCGUAAAGUCCUUUUGUUAGGGAAGCGGUGCCUAGCGAGUAGGCAGCGGCUAACUCCGUGCCAGCAGCCGCGGUAAUUC